UGUACCCUUUGACAAACAUUCUGGGGUAUUUGAAUCAAUGAUUCUGAGUAAACCCUAUAACUCUGAGGUCUAC
rnacentral:snoRNA from 1 species